rnacentral:lncRNA from 1 species
CUUGUAUUUAAAGAGCUUCGAUGACAAAAAAAGGUCAUUUUUUUAGUCUUUAAUGUCCUGUUUAUACCUGUAGAAAGGGUUCGGUACCGAGUUAUCAUUAGGGUGUAGAUAUAUAGUUGAGAUACCAUAUGAGAUCAACAGAUAUAUAAAGUUUAAACAACGAUGUCAUGUGAUAUCCAUAUGCAGUCAAAAUAUUGUGCGAUAACAAC